rnacentral:tRNA from 1 species
GGCCGGCUGGCGCAAUGGUAGCGCGUCAGACUUCUAUUGUCUAUGCAUAAGACUGAUAGUGAUCUGAAGGCUGCGGGUUCGAGCCCCGCGUUGGUCA